rnacentral:rRNA from 1 species
AACGAACGCUGGCGGCAGGCUUAACACAUGCAAGUCGAGCGCGUAGCAAUACGAGCGGCAGACGGGUGAGUAACGCGUGGGAAUCUACCGUACCCUACGGAAUAGCUCUGGGAAACUGGAAGUAAUACCGUAUACGCCCUAACGGGGAAAGAUUUAUCGGGGUAUGAUGAGCCCGCGUUGGAUUAGCUAGUUGGUGGGGUAAAGGCCUACCAAGGCGACGAUCCAUAGCUGGUCUGAGAGGAUGAUCAGCCACAUUGGGACUGAGACACGGCCCAAACUCCUACGGGAGGCAGCAGUGGGGAAUAUUGGACAAUGGGCGCAAGCCUGAUCCAGCCAUGCCGCGUGAGUGAUGAAGGUCUUAGGAUUGUAAAGCUCUUUCACCGAUGAAGAUAAUGACGGUAGUCGGAGAAGAAGCCCCGGCUAACUUCGUGCCAGCCGCCGCGGUAA